UACGAAGGGGGCUAGCGUUGCUCGGAAUCACUGGGCGGAAAGGGUGCGUAGGCGGGUCUUUAAGUCAGGGGUGAAAUCCUGGAGCUCAACUCCAGAACUGCCUUUGAUACUGGUGAUCUUGAGUCCGGGAGAGGUGAGUGGAACUGCGAGUGUAGAGGUGAAAUUCGUAGAUAUUCGCAAGAACACCAGUGGCGAAGGCGGCUCACUGGCCCGGUACUGACGCUGAGGUGCGAAAGCGUGGGGAGCAAACAGG
rnacentral:rRNA from 1 species